UGGGAGUUUCACGAGGCUGACUCCGAGUUAAGUACGAAGCGUGAGGUUACUAUAAGUUAAUGGUCGAGGAGGAUUAACGACAGCGAAAUGAAUCGAAUGGUGUUAGAAUAUAAUAAUUAAUUUUGUUUUCUACUCAAACUGCAGAAAUUACAACCGAUUAACUACCUUUCUGUCAGGUGGCCGGCAUGUGGUCAGCACCGGGACUGGUUUGUCGUAUAGACCCACAGCAACAGAUCCUGCAGAUGUUGCUGGUGUUGUGCUGACUGAGGAAGGUGUACACACUAGACCACACACUUGCAUCUCAUCUACUGUACACCAGCUGCAAGGGUUUUGAAUUCAAGUGCCUUGAGUUCAGUGAUCAUUUCCCUCUUCCCCCAGCGCACCAGCAGUGUGGAGCCCAUGUAAGAGACAUGGAGUGUUGGUAUCAGUGAAGGGUAGCUGUUCCUAGCAGUGAAGGAUGCCGAGUUCCUGAGUGAGCGGGAGCCACACAGCAUCUUCCUCUCCAUGGAUCCACAUAGGAGGCAUAAGACAAUAGUGACCACAGGGAAGACCAAGGCUCCUGGUGUGAGGUCAGUGGAGAGAAGCUGUUCCUAGUCAGCAAGUUCCAUGCCUUGCCUUCACCUCUUGAACUGCUCGCCAUCUGCAAGCGCCUGCUGUGCUAAAGUAUAUUGGCCGUUGAGGAGAUGUAUCAGUGAAGAAAAUCUGUGUCAAGUUUGUGGGUGAGCAAGGAUUGUGCAGCGUCUGCCUCUUCAGUUGUGCACCAUCUAUGAGGAGCCUCCUGUACCAUAGAUGUCAUUGUACAUUCGCUCUUCUAGGCCAGCAUUUUUGGAUCUUGUUUGGCCAGAUCGUAAUCCGUGCUGGGCGUGUGUGUGCAUGGAGCUUCAGAGAUGGUGCAGCCUCUUGAUGCAAGAAUUCCACAACAGGAGGAGAUAUAAAUACUAUACGUUGUGAUACUGAUGAAAAAAGCAACAAUAUCCCAUGCACGGAAUGGAUACUUCUGCUUGGGUGAGGUAGAAACUUCCGUGCAGCAGGUCAUUUGGCCCAUUAGGCCAUUUAUUCAGCUUGAUGCAGGAGCUGAAUGUGAAAACAAAUCCUAUGAUGAUGGAAACUAAUGAUUGUACAUGCCUGCAUUACAUGCAGUUUAGAAAAUGUUAGGACGUAGUUCAGUAAUGAAGCAUUUCCAUACAGGUGGGCUGGUAAUUUUUAGUUUAUUCAAUUGCUAAGAUGAGUGUGUAUGAUGAACUGGGAGAGAAGUGGAGGUAAACAUUCACAGCACUUGAUUGGCAGGACUGAAAAAAUCAUGAAAACUGCCUGUCAGGAUUGGCUGGUUAGGAAGCAAAUGUCACUCCUUGAAAAAACCUCUUAUGUAAACAUCUUAUAUACUUCUUUAUGGUUCUGCUGACAUUUAAAACUGAUGAUAUUUUGGGUGGGUAUGUUUAUUUUGCUGUACUAUUGAGUUUGAGUUAAGGCCUUAUGCUUUUGUCUGAUUCUCCAACCAUCUGUAGUUUCCCACUCCAGUGAAUUAGCUCCCAUGCCACUGGGGGUACUGGGUAUCAUCUGCGCUGUGCAGUCACCCUUGUGUCUGAGACAGGCCUAAUGUCUCAACUGUUCUCACCAAUAAAUACUGUCACAUGUCCAGGGUUUGCAUGACUAAUAAGAUGGGUUUUGGAUUUGAUGAUCAAAUUUAUUGGACCUUUAUACUGGUAUAACUGGUUACAACAGUUCACAAAUACUGAUGCACUGUCAUCAUCUUCCAGCUGGACACUUCAUGGGAACUAUUCUGACUUCCAACUGAAAUGUCAAUUCAAGUGAAAGUCAAAGUCACAUUGCAGCUGACGGUAAGUCAG